UACGGGGGGGGCAAGCGUUGUUCGGAAUUACUGGGCGUAAAGGGUGCGUAGGCGGGUCUUUAAGUCAGGGGUGAAAUCCUGGAGCUCAACUCCAGAACUGCCUUUGAUACUGAGGAUCUUGAGUCCGGGAGAGGUGAGUGGAACUGCGAGUGUAGAGGUGAAAUUCGUAGAUAUUCGCAAGAACACCAGUGGCGAAGGCGGCUCACUGGCCCGGUACUGACGCUGAGGCACGAAAGCGUGGGGAGCAAACAGG
rnacentral:rRNA from 1 species